UACUCUGUGAAGGUUUGUCCCUGUUGGAGCGUCUGAUGAGUGACAUCGACCUUUACAAGCAACACGAGACAUACGGGUUCAACAGACGCUUUGUCACCAAGUUACUGAGGAACUACAGGUGAUGACUAGAUAUGUUGCUGUACCUUCUCACAAUCUCAUUUUAAAGUGCUCAAAUAUGUCUUGGCCAGACAGCCCAUGCUGUUUCUAAACUUACAUUUUUGAACACUUCUUUUCUUCCUCACUCUCUCUCAGGUCCCAUCCUGCAAUUUUGAAAAUUCCCAAUGGGCUGUUUUAUAAAGGAGAACUUCAGGCUUUUGCUUCAAAAGAGAUAUGCAGUUUAUACUGCAAAUGGGAACUCCUUCCCAAAAAAGUAACGCAGCCUCCACACGCACGCACACAUGCAUGCACGCACUCUGGCACACACACACACACACACACACACGCAAUGCUCAGGUUAUCUGCCCCUAAUAUCUGUUUCUGUGUCUCAGGGUUUCCCACUGAUCUUCCAUGGAGUGGCUGGAACUGAUGAACGUGAUGACGACAGUCCCUCUAUUUACAACACGGCGGAAGUGGAGGUGCUGAAAGAAUACUUAAAAGCCCUUAUUAAACAUCUUCACAAAAAGGGUGUAACCAACAUUGGACCCAACGAAAUUGGAAUCAUCGCCCCAUAUAGGAAACAGGUGGAGAAAAUCCAGAAUGCACUGCAGACCGACCAAGAUCUCUGCAAGGAAAACUUAGAAAACAUAUCGGUAUGGAGAUAAAAAUGUUUACAGUCAAAUCUUAUUGAGAGAGAAAAAAAGGGGGGCGACGUUAAAGAGAUUUAAACAAUGCUCAUUACUGUUUUUAAUAGGUCGGUACAGUGGAGACGUUUCAGGGUAAAGAGUCCAAAGUGAUUCUUGUGUCUGCAGUGCGCAGCAGUCCUAAACUGACUGAUCCAAACCAGAGAUUCUCUUUAGGCUUUGUGGAUAACGAGAAGAGAUUCAAUGUGGCCAUGACUCGAGCACAAGCCUUAUUGAUUGUAGUCGGAGACCCGAGAGUUUUGAGAACUGAUGCAACGUGGAACAAAUUCAUCCAUUACUGCUACAAAGAAGGGGGCUACCGAGGCAUUCCACUGUCUGAUGAAGAAGAGGAAGAUACACUGACUGAUGAAAACUCACCAAGCCUCCGAGAAGAGUGAUCAGCAACAGAGCACCCUGACAGAGCCAACACACCUUCUACGCUCACCUUUGGCUCAUGUAUGAGCAACUAUAAUAAACAACUCCAAGAAACUUCAA